CCUUGGGACACCUGUUGGAGAGGAUGCAGUCUCAAAGGUACAUUCAUUCAUAUGUGGUGGGAAUGUUCCCAAGCACAAUCCUUUUGGGUUAAAAUACAUAACCUGAUAAAAAGAAUCUUUCAUAGGGCGCCACAACUAAAUCCUUGGACAUACCUACUUAACAGAUCUCUAGACGACUGGACAAGGAGGGAACAGAAAUUGAUCCAUAAGAUUACAUUAGCCGCAAGAAGAACAAUAGCACAGACAUGGCUCCAAACCACACUACUACAGAUUCAGUGGGUCAUUUCUAAUAUAAAAGAGGUAUACCUAACAUUGUACACCAACUUCCAAUGUAGAGCGAGCUAAAUGGAAUCAGCCAAAAAGCGAAACUGCCAACGGACGUCAGAAACUGUCCCCGUACACGGGGAGGCAAAUUAUAAGGAACACAUAGGGUUAACGGAAUCCCACUUCAAAAGACACCCGUAUUGCAUCAUUGAAUGUGUGCUAAUAGGUAUGGCGGGAUACUUAUUUAAGAAGUAUAUUAAUGUUUUUUGAUGUUAUGUUAUUUUAUUAAAAAAAAGAAAAAUAGAAAAAUCCCUUGACAAGUAGCCAAACAAGCCU